rnacentral:rRNA from 1 species
GUCGAGCGAGAACAGAGAUAGAGAUUUCGGUCAAGUCUGUUGUGGAAAGCGGCGGACGGGUGAGUAACGCGUAGGCAACCUGCCCUUUGCAGAGGGAUAGCCUCGGGAAACCGGGAUUAAAACCUCAUGAAGCUGAGAGUCCGCAUGGGGAUUCAGCCAAAGAUUUAUCGGCAAAGGAUGGGCCUGCGUCUGAUUAGUUAGUUGGUGGGGUAACGGCCUACCAAGGCGACGAUCAGUAGCCGACCUGAGAGGGUGAUCGGCCACAUUGGAACUGAGACACGGUCCAAACUCCUACGGGAGGCAGCAGUGGGGAAUCUUGCACAAUGGGCGAAAGCCUGAUGCAGCAACGCCGCGUGAGCGAAGAAGGCCUUUGGGUCGUAAAGCUCUGUCCUAAGGGAAGAAGGAAGUGACGGUACCUUAGGAGGAAGCCCCGGCUAACUACGUGCCAGCAGCCGCGGUAAUACGUAGGGGGCAAGCGUUAUCCGGAAUUAUUGGGCGUAAAGAGUACGUAGGCGGUUCUUUAAGCGUAGGGUCUAAGGCGAUGGCUUAACCAUCGUUCGCCCUGUGAACUGGAGGACUUGAGUAUCGGAGAGGAAAGCGGAAUUCCUAGUGUAGCGGUGAAAUGCGUAGAUAUUAGGAGGAACACCAGUGGCGAAGGCGGCUUUCUGGACGAAAACUGACGCUGAGGUACGAAAGCGUGGGGAGCAAACAGGAUUAGAUACCCUGGUAGUCCACGCCGUAAACGAUGAGCACUAGGUGUCGGGGCCGC